rnacentral:misc_RNA from 1 species
AUUACCGAGUGAGGGCCCUCUGGGUCCAACCUCCCACCCGUGUUUUCCGAACCCUGUUGCUUCGGCGGGCCCGCCUCACGGCCGCCGGGGGGCUUCUGCCCCCGGGCCCGCGCCCGCCGAAGACACCUGUGAACGCUGUCUGAAGUUGCAGUCUGAGAAACUAGCUAAAUUAGUUAAAACUUUCAACAACGGAUCUCUUGGUUCCGGCAUCG